rnacentral:rRNA from 1 species
UGGGGAAUCUUAGACAAUGGGCGCAAGCCUGAUCUAGCCAUGCCGCGUGAGCGAUGAAGGCCUUAGGGUUGUAAAGCUCUUUCACCGGUGACGAUAAUGACGGUAGCCGGAGAAGAAGCCCCGGCUAACUCCGUGCCAGCAGCCGCGGUAAUACGGAGGGGGCUAGCGUUGUUCGGAAUUACUGGGCGUAAAGCGCACGUAGGCGGAUUGUUAAGUCGGGGGUGAAAUCCCGGGGCUCAACCCCGGAACUGCCUCCGAUACUGGCAGUCUUGAGGACGGGAGAGGCGAGUGGAAUGCCGAGUGUAGAGGUGAAAUUCGUAGAUAUUCGGCGGAACACCAGUGGCGAAGGCGGCUCGCUGGCCCGUAUCUGACGCUGAGGUGCGAAAGCGUGGGGAGCAAACAGGAUUAGAUACCCCCGUAGUCC